UACGAAGGGGGCUAGCGUUGUUCGGAAUUACUGGGCGUAAAGCGCGCGCAGGCGGUCUUCCAAGUCAGUGGUGAAAGCCCGGAGCUCAACUCCGGAACUGCCAUUGAAACUGUUAGACUUGAGGAUGAGAGAGGUGAGUGGAAUUCCCAGUGUAGAGGUGAAAUUCGUAGAUAUUGCUCGGAAGGCCAACGGCGAAGGCAGGUUACUGGUACGCAACCGACGCUGAGGCACGAAAGCGUGGGGAGCAAACAGG
rnacentral:rRNA from 1 species